rnacentral:rRNA from 1 species
AGAGUUUGAUCCUGGCUCAGAAUCAACGCUGGCGGCGUGCCUAACACAUGCAAGUCGCACGAGAAAGGGUAGCAAUACCUGAGUACAGUGGCGCACGGGUGAGUAACACGUGAAUUAUCUACCUCCGAGUGGGGAAUAACUGAGAGAAAUCUUAGCUAAUACCGCAUAACACUUACGAGUCAAAGCAGCAAUGCGCUUGGAGAGGAGUUCGCGGCAGAUUAGUUAGUUGGCGGGGUAAUGGCCCACCAAGACGAUGAUCUGUAUCCGGCCUGAGAGGGCGCACGGACACACUGGAACUGAAACACGGUCCAGACUCCUACGGGAGGCAGCAGUGGGGAAUUUUGCGCAAUGGGGGAAACCCUGACGCAGCAACGCCGCGUGGAGGAUGAAAUAUCUUGGUAUGUAAACUCCUUUCGAUGGGGAAGAUUAUGACGGUACCCAUAGAAGAAGCCCCGGCUAACUUCGUGCCAGCAGCCGCGGUAAUACGAGGGGGGCAAGCGUUGUUCGGAUUUAUUGGGCGUAAAGGGUGCGUAGGCGGUUUGGCAAGUCUUAUGUGAAAUCUUCGGGCUCAACCCGAAGCCUGCAUAAGAAACUGCCGGGCUUGAGUAUGGGAGAGGUGAGUGGAAUUUCCGGUGUAGCGGUGAAAUGCGUAGAUAUCGGAAGGAACACCUGUGGCGAAAGCGGCUCACUGGACCAUAACUGACGCUGAUGCACGAAAGCUAGGGGAGCAAACAGGAUUAGAUACCCUGGUAGUCCUAGCCCUAAACGAUGAUUGCUUGGUGUGGCAGGUACCCAAUCCU